rnacentral:rRNA from 1 species
UACGGGGGGGGGCAAGCGUUGUUCGGAAUUACUGGGCGUAAAGGGCUCGUAGGUGGCCAACUAAGUCAGACGUGAAAUCCCUCGGCUUAACCGGGGAACUGCGUCUGAUACUGGAUGGCUUGAGUUCGGGAGAGGGAUGCGGAAUUCCAGGUGUAGCGGUGAAAUGCGUAGAUAUCUGGAGGAACACCGGUGGCGAAGGCGGCAUCCUGGACCGAGACUGACACUGAGGAGCGAAAGCCAGGGGAGCAAACGGG